UCUUGUUGAAACUAAUGGGAACAAGAUCAGGCCAAAUGUCAGAUCAACUUUGACCAAAAUAUAAUUUUUUUUUUUACACCAAAAAAAGUCUUCAUAAAGCCUAAGACUAAAUGAAAUGGUUUUUCUUAUUUUUUUUAAUUCUAGUGGAAACAUUUUUUAAACUAAUAUUCUCCUAUAAUGUUAGCCAUCCAGUUAUUGCCGUAUCGUGCAAAUAUAUAUCAUAAAAGUGAACCUGACGAGAAACUAACCAGCAACACAAAUUAAUCUAUCUAGUCCAUUCCAUUGAUCAAUCUGAGGAAAUUCAACAAGUAAACAUCAUAAAUAAUAAAAAAUAAAUUAGACUUUAAUUUGCUUUGAUUAUUAAAACUGAACAAGUGUUUGUUUUUAGCAUAAAUAAGGACAUUUCCUACUUGCUAACUUAUGUAAAUAUUGUACGCACAGUCCAUGACAUUCUGGUGAAUUUUAAGCUGUUGUGCUUAGAGGGGCCAGAGUGAAAAAGCAGAAGAAAAUAAUUUAAUAAUUUAAUUCACUAGAAUGCAAUCCUUGCAAAAAAAAAAAAAAAAGUUACUUCCUAGUAUGAUCUCCCUUCCUCCAUGUUGCCUGCUUAUUUUUCUCUGUGAUCCUAGACUCCCCAGUGAGCCCUCAGGAGCUGGUUGGUUGGAGACCAGCUGGGAGGUUGCAGUCUUUAAGUUGCAGCUGAGGUCACUUAGCAGGUAGCCAUUGCAGAGCUGAGAGAGGUGCUAUAACUUAAUUCCCCAUGCUGAGCUUUAGCUGCUAUCUCUUAUGUAAAGAAGAGGGCUGCAGGGUUACCUGCCAACAGGGUAUUGAAUGGGGGCACCAGCUCUCCAGGGUGGAAUGUUCAAAACCUAGUUCUUUUGUUAGAUAUGACAUGUAUUAUGUUUCAUCUUACACUGCCCCUUUAAAAAUGUGUCUCUUACGGUGAUCGUUCAGAAAUGUUAUGGAUCCUGAGAUUUUUGAGCAAGGCAACCCAUAUUGCUAUGAAAAGAAACAUGAGAAUCUUAUAUUACAUGCACAAGACUUUUAUUUAUUUAUUUUUUUAAGGGUUCUGAAAUACCCCUAUGUUGUACUGUUUAUUUUCCUCUUAAGGGUGAAAAUGAGUUGUCCCUUCUGUAAUUACAUGUAAUCUCAGUAUUUUUCUCUCCUUAUACUUAUAGUCAUAAAUCAUUUCCUCUAGCAUUAUAUUUUAAAAAAAUCCAGAGAUCAAUAUCUAUGGAUCUUUGGGUCAUUCUACGCCACAAACACUAAGAUGAGACCACAAGGUUAUUAGAGUCUUCAUGUAUCCCCUUAAACCAUUUACAACUGUUGGAACCAUGCAUAUAAACUAUUUGUUUUAACUACAGUUCAAACCAAAAGAAUCUGAAUGACUGAUAGUUUUACUUCUCUUCAGGUCGAUUGAGUGAUGGAACUGGGUUGCUCCACUAAAUCAUUGUGAUAUAGGGAUCUCUUAAAUACAUAAAGAUUGUGCCUUGAUUGUGAUUGCAGUGAGCAGAAACAGUGACAAAGAAUUUUUUCCUAAUAAGUGAAUGAGAGUACUUAUAACUUUGAAUUACCAUAUGUGCAUACCUAUUGGAUUCCAAAAGGCAUUAUGGAAAUUAGACAACAUCUGUGUUUUUGAGCUGGGUAUUUAUCU